AUUGAACGCUGGCGGCAGGCCUAACACAUGCAAGUCGAACGGUAGCACAGAGAGCUUGCUCUCGGGUGACGAGUGGCGGACGGGUGAGUAAUGUCUGGGAAACUGCCCGAUGGAGGGGGAUAACUACUGGAAACGGUAGCUAAUACCGCAUAACGUCGCAAGACCAAAGUGGGGGACCUUCGGGCCUCACACCAUCGGAUGUGCCCAGAUGGGAUUAGCUAGUAGGUGGGGUAAUGGCUCACCUAGGCGACGAUACCUAGCGGGUCUGAGAGGAUGACCAGCCAACCUGGAACUGAGACACGGUCCAGACUCCUACGGGAGGCAGCAGUGUGGAAUAUUGCACAAUGGGCGCAAGCCUGAUGCAGCCAUGCCGCGUGUAUGAAGAAGGCCUUCGGGUUGUAAAGUACUUUCAGCGGGGAGGAAGGCGGUGAAGUUAAUAACUUCACCGAUUGACGUUACCCGCAGAAGAAGCACCGGCUAACUCCGUGCCAGCCGCCGCGGUAA
rnacentral:rRNA from 1 species